rfam:Camelus ferus unplaced genomic scaffold scaffold258, whole genome shotgun sequence.
AAAGGUAUAGCUCAAGUGGUAGAGUGCAUGCUUGGCAUGCAUGAGGUCCUGGGUUCAAUCACCAGUACCUCCU